GGCCCGUUCGUCAAGUGGUUAAGACACCGCCCUUUCACGGCGGGUUCACGAGUUCGAAUCUCGUACGGGUCACCA
rnacentral:tRNA from 2 species